AGAACGAACGCUGGCGGCAUGCCUAACACAUGCAAGUCGAACGAGAUCCUUCGGGGUCUAGUGGCGCACGGGUGCGUAACGCGUGGGAAUCUGCCCUUAGGUACGGAAUAACUCAGGGAAACUUGUGCUAAUACCGUAUGAUGUCUUCGGACCAAAGAUUUAUCGCCUAGGGAUGAGCCCGCGUAGGAUUAGCUAGUUGGUGGGGUAAAGGCCUACCAAGGCUACGAUCCUUAGCUGGUCUGAGAGGAUGAUCAGCCACACUGGGACUGAGACACGGCCCAGACUCCUACGGGAGGCAGCAGUGGGGAAUAUUGGACAAUGGGCGAAAGCCUGAUCCAGCAAUGCCGCGUGAGUGAAGAAGGCCUUCGGGUUGUAAAGCUCUUUUACCCGGGAAGAUAAUGACUGUACCGGGAGAAUAAGCCCGGCUAACUCCGCGCCAGCAGCCGC
rnacentral:rRNA from 1 species